UACGUAGGGUGCAAGCGUUGUCCGGAAUUAUUGGGCGUAAAGAGCUCGUAGGCGGCUCGUCGCGUCGACCGUGAAAACCCGCGGCUUAACUGCGGGCUUGCGGUUGAUACGGGCGGGCUAGAGUUCGGUAGGGGAGACUGGAAUUCCUGGUGUAGCGGUGAAAUGCGCAGAUAUCAGGAAGAACACCCGUGGCUAAGGCGGCUCUCUAGUACGGUACUGACGCUGAGACGCGAAAGCGUGGGGAGUGAACAGG
rnacentral:rRNA from 1 species